rnacentral:rRNA from 1 species
CUACAGGCUUAACACAUGCAAGUCGAGGGGCAUCAGGAAGAAAGCUUGCUUUCUUUGCUGGCGACCGGCGCACGGGUGAGUAACACGUAUCCAACCUGCCCUUUACUCGGGGAUAGCCUUUCGAAAGAAAGAUUAAUACCCGAUAGCAUAAUGAUUCCGCAUGGUUUCAUUAUUAAAGGAUUCCGGUAAAGGAUGGGGAUGCGUUCCAUUAGGUUGUUGGUGAGGUAACGGCCCACCAAGCCUUCGAUGGAUAGGGGUUCUGAGAGGAAGGUCCCCCACAUUGGAACUGAGACACGGUCCAAACUCCUACGGGAGGCAGCAGUGAGGAAUAUUGGUCAAUGGGCGCUAGCCUGAACCAGCCAAGUAGCGUGAAGGAUGAAGGCUCUAUGGGUCGUAAACUUCUUUUAUAUAAGAAUAAAGUGCAGUAUGUAUACUGUUUUGUAUGUAUUAUAUGAAUAAGGAUCGGCUAACUCCGUGCCAGCAGCCGCGGUAAUACGGAGGAUCCGAGCGUUAUCCGGAUUUAUUGGGUUUAAAGGGAGCGUAGGUGGACUGGUAAGUCAGUUGUGAAAGUUUGCGGCUCAACCGUAAAAUUGCAGUUGAUACUGUCAGUCUUGAGUACAGUAGAGGUGGGCGGAAUUCGUGGUGUAGCGGUGAAAUGCUUAGAUAUCACGAAGAACUCCGAUUGCGAAGGCAGCUCACUGGACUGCAACUGACACUGAUGCUCGAAAGUGUGGGUAUCAAACAGGAUUAGAUACCCUGGUAGUCCACACAGUAAACGAUGAAUACUCGCUGUUUGCGAUAUACAGUAAGCGGCCAAGCGAAAGCAUUAAGUAUUCCACCUGGGGAGUACGCCGGCAACGGUGAAACUCAAAGGAAUUGACGGGGGCCCGCACAAGCGGAGGAACAUGUGGUUUAAUUCGAUGAUACGCGAGGAACCUUACCCGGGCUUAAAUUGCAGUGGAAUGAUGUGGAAACAUGUCAGUGAGCAAUCACCGCUGUGAAGGUGCUGCAUGGUUGUCGUCAGCUCGUGCCGUGAGGUGUCGGCUUAAGUGCCAUAACGAGCGCAACCCUUAUCUUUAGUUACUAACAGGUUAUGCUGAGGACUCUGGAGAGACUGCCGUCGUAAGAUGUGAGGAAGGUGGGGAUGACGUCAAAUCAGCACGGCCCUUACGUCCGGGGCUACACACGUGUUACAAUGGGGGGUACAGAAGGCAGCUAGCGGGUGACCGUAUGCUAAUCCCAAAAGCCUCUCUCAGUUCGGAUCGAAGUCUGCAACCCGACUUCGUGAAGCUGGAUUCGCUAGUAAUCGCGCAUCAGCCACGGCGCGGUGAAUACGUUCCCGGGCCUUGUACACACCGCCCGUCAAGCCAUGGGAGCCGGGGGUACCUGAAGUACGUAACCGCAAGGAUCGUCCUAGGGUAAAACUGGUGACUGGGGCUAAGUCAUAACAA